rnacentral:rRNA from 1 species
GACGAACGCUGGCGGCGUGCCUAAUACAUGCAAGUAGAACGCUGAAGGAGGAGCUUGCUUCUCUGGAUGAGUUGCGAACGGGUGAGUAACGCGUAGGUAACCUGCCUGGUAGCGGGGGAUAACUAUUGGAAACGAUAGCUAAUACCGCAUAAGAGUAGAUGUUGCAUGACAUUUGCUUAAAAGGUGCAAUUGCAUCACUACCAGAUGGACCUGCGUUGUAUUAGCUAGUUGGUGGGGUAACGGCUCACCAAGGCGACGAUACAUAGCCGACCUGAGAGGGUGAUCGGCCACACUGGGACUGAGACACGGCCCAGACUCCUACGGGAGGCAGCAGUAGGGAAUCUUCGGCAAUGGACGGAAGUCUGACCGAGCAACGCCGCGUGAGUGAAGAAGGUUUUCGGAUCGUAAAGCUCUGUUGUAAGAGAAGAACGAGUGUGAGAGUGGAAAGUUCACACUGUGACGGUAUCUUACCAGAAAGGGACGGCUAACUACGUGCCAGCAGCCGCGGUAAUACGUAGGUGGCAAGCGUUAUCCGGAUUUAUUGGGCGUAAAGAGAGUGCAGGCGGUUUUCUAAGUCUGAUGUGAGAGCCUUCGGCUUAACCGGAGAAGUGCAUCGGAAACUGGAUAACUUGAGUGCAGAAGAGGGUAGUGGAACUCCAUGUGUAGCGGUGGAAUGCGUAGAUAUAUGGAAGAACAACAGUGGCGAAGGCGGCUACCUGGUCUGCAACUGACGCUGAGACUCGAAGCAUGGGUAGUGAACAGG